rnacentral:rRNA from 1 species
AUUCCAGCUCCAAUAGCGUAUAUUAAAGUUGUUGCAGUUAAAAAGCUCGUAGUUGGAUUUCUGGCGUCGCCGCCCGGUCGGCCUCGAAAGGGGUUCGCACUCGUUGGCGCGCGUCGCCAUCCUCGGGGGAAGGCCGCCUGGCAUUAAGUUGUCGGGCGGUCGACGCUCGUCGUUUACUGUGAACAAAUUAGAGUGUUCAAAGCAGGCUUAGGCCGUUGAAUACAUUAGCAUGGAAUAAUGAGAUAGGACUUUGGUGGUCUAUUUUGUUGGUUUGCACGCCGAAGUAAUGAUUAAUAGGGGCGGUUGGGGGUAUUCGUAUUCAAUCGUCAGAGGUGAAAUUCUUGGAUUUAUGGAAGACGAACUACUGCGAAAGCAUUUACCAAGGAUGUUUUCAUUA